GAGUUUGAUCCUGGCUCAGAACGAACGCUGGCGGCAGGCUUAACACAUGCAAGUCGAGCGCCCCGCAAGGGGAGCGGCAGACGGGUGAGUAACGCGUGGGAAUCUACCUUCUGCUACGGAAUAACUCAGGGAAACUUGUGCUAAUACCGUAUGUGCCCUUCGGGGGAAAGAUUUAUCGGCAAAGGAUGAGCCCGCGUUGGAUUAGCUAGUUGGUGGGGUAAAGGCCUACCAAGGCGACGAUCCAUAGCUGGUCUGAGAGGAUGAUCAGCCACACUGGGACUGAGACACGGCCCAGACUCCUACGGGAGGCAGCAGUGGGGAAUAUUGGACAAUGGGCGCAAGCCUGAUCCAGCCAUGCCGCGUGAGUGAUGACGGUCUUAGGAUUGUAAAGCUCUUUCACCGGUGAAGAUAAUGACGGUAACCGGAGAAGAAGCCCCGGCUAACUUCGUGCCAGCAGCCGCGGUAAUACGAAGGGGGCUAGCGUUGUUCGGAUUUACUGGGCGUAAAGCGCACGUAGGCGGACUUUUAAGUCAGGGGUGAAAUCCCAGAGCUCAACUCUGGAACUGCCUUUGAUACUGGAAGUCUUGAGUAUGGUAGAGGUGAGUGGAAUUCCGAGUGUAGAGGUGAAAUUCCUAGAUAUUCCGAAGGACACCAGUGGCGAAGGCCGCUCACUGGACCAUAACUGACGCUGGAGGUGCGAAAGCCUGGGGAGCAAACAGGAAUAAAUACCCCGGGUAAUUCCACCCCCGUAAAACGAAUAAAAUUUAAGCCGUUCGGGGGGGUUUCCAUUUUGGGGGGGGCAGCAAAAGCCAUUAAACAUUUCGGCCUGGGGAGUACGGUCGCAAGAUUAAAAAUCAAAAGGAAUUGACGGGGGCCCGCACAAGCCGGUGAGCAAUGUGUUUAAUUCGAAGCAACGCGCAGAACCCUACCCAGCCCUUGACAUACCGGUCGCGGACACAGAGAUGUGUCUUUCAGUUCGGCUGGACCGGAUACAGGUGCUGCAUGGCUGUCGUCAGCUCGUGUCGUGAGAUGUUGGGUUAAGUCCCGCAACGAGCGCAACCCUCGCCUUUAGUUGCCAUCAUUUAGUUGGGCACUCUAAAGGGACUGCCAGUGAUAAGCUGGAGGAAGGUGGGGAUGACGUCAAGUCCUCAUGGCCCUUACGGGCUGGGCUACACACGUGCUACAAUGGUGGUGACAGUGGGCAGCAAGCGUGCGAACGCAAGCUAAUCUCCAAAAGCCAUCUCAGUUCGGAUUGCACUCUGCAACUCGAGUGCAUGAAGUUGGAAUCGCUAGUAAUCGCGGAUCAGCAUGCCGCGGUGAAUACGUUCCCGGGCCUUGUACACACCGCCCGUCACACCAUGGGAGUUGGUUCUGCCCGAAGGCACUGUGCUAACCGCAAGGAGGCAGGUGACCACGGUGGGUUUAGAGACUGGGGUGAAGUCGUAACAAGGUAACCGUA
rnacentral:rRNA from 1 species